UCUUCUCGUGAAAUCUCCAAACAAACAUAUUCCUGCUUCUCGCCUCUCGCUGCUCUCUACUCACAAACCACUGUGCGCUUGCUGCUCGUUAUUCACCGUCGUUGGCCUUCCACCACCGGUUGCUCGACUGUCUUGUACUUAGAUUGUCUUUCUCGUUAAGCCGCCAUUUAAUCCUCCAACAGAGAUGAAGAUGAAAUUCAUAAUCUUCAUCGCCUAAGCCUUCAUCUGGAUUGAAAUCAUCGGUUUGGGACUACCGUCGACACCCUUUCAUCAUCUCUGUUGCGAAACUGAUGGAGUAAAGCCACCGCGUCGGAGUUUCUCAUAUCUCUAUGAACAGAUUCUACUUGUGGUAAAAUUCCUUCUCUUACUGCUCCUGAAGGCAUUUCUAUUAGAAGGUUUGUUCUUACAGUGAAGUCCUCAAAGACAAGACAAUGCAGUUAUAAUGCUAAUGAUAAUGCCAUGCUUAAUACUAAUUCACGUAAAGACUUUCUUGGAUUAGCAUUAGGAGGAGCCUAUACACUUUUCAUCCAUUCAUUUGAUGCUGCCAAUGGAGCUGGUUUGCCACCAGAAGAAAAACCUAAACUAUGUGACAACACUUGUGAGAAAGAGCUUGAAAAUGUAUGGUGAAAUUACAUUACAUAGAGCUUGAAACUACCCUUCUUCAUGUUGAAAUUCCCCUGUUAUUAGUUGCUCUUGCUAAGCUUCAUAAUACCCCUUUUCAUUUUUUUCUAUACUAAAGAUGUUGUAUGUGUUGGGAUAUAUAGCCUCUGUCAAAGUUGAUUUCAUAGCAGGAACAAAAAUUAUAUCAUGCCUGGAAGCUACUAGGAAUCUUGUAAUCAAGUUUAAUCAGAACUGUUGUGGGGCAACAAAUGUCUCCUGAUGUCACAUUCUUCUUCAUCACGUGGACUGAGUUCUCUUUCUCCUUCAGUUUAUAGCCUGACAUUGUUGCUCGUGGGGUUAAUAUUCUGGCUGCCUUGUCACCUGCUUAUUCUAGCCUAAAAUCUUAUUCAAGUCAAGAUGUGUAUCUGCUAUUAACUUCACAAUUGAAUCAGUAACUUCAACGCCAUGCCCCCACAUAUCUGAUAUUGUCGCAUUUGCUGCAAAGACUAUCUACCCAACUUAGAGCCCCGCCGCAAUUAAAUCUUCCCUUGUCACAGUAGCUGCUCUAAAAAACGAAUGCAGUCAAUACAUUGGAGCCAAGGGAGUAUGUACAAACAAGAUGGUCCAUUUGAUAAUUGUCAAUAAUUGUCAAUUAUAGCCUCUAGACUUGCCUCACUUAAGGUAUAUACAAGUUAGGAAGUGUAUUAUUCCUAGUAAUUGUGGAAUUAAGUCAUGUUCUCCCCACUUCUAACUUCCUGCAAUCCAUUUUCAUGUUGAUUGGGUUAGAAUGUCUUGUACUGAAGCUUUUGUAUUCACAUGAUUUUUAUCAUGUAAUAAAAUAUUUUUAACUUAGCUCGCAUCUUUUUCCUUAUGUAGUCUUUACUCUUCAUGAGUUUUAAUUUAUUAUAAUAUAAUGGUAUAAUUUUGCUGAUAUAUUCUUUUAUUUUUGCUGUCGGGAUUUGUACUAAUUAGUUUUCUACAGUGACAAAUAGUUAGCUGUUGGGUUAGGCAUAGUUAAUUUCAACCUUAAUUUAGGUCUUACACUAUGAUUUGUUUCUAUCUAUGAUCUUUAGACAAUUAUUUGCAGUACCCUUUUUUUUACUUGUUAUAUAUGGUUAGACAUUUUGCAUAAUAUUUGAUAAGAUAAUAUUUGUAUUUCUAGGUCUUUAUAAAAAAUAAAAUUGAUAAGAUAAUAUUUGUAUUUCUAGGUCUUUAUAAAAAAUAAAAUUGAUAAGACAAUAUUUGUAUUUCUAGGUUUUUAUGAAAAAAAAAUUGCAUGAAAAUUUAACUUGUUAGGUCGGUUAAAUAUAUCCGAUUUAAGAUAUAAACUUCUUAAGUCGGGCACAAAUGGCAUAAGGGGUUCUGAAAGUCUAAACUUAUUAAGUCGGGUGCUAUUUAACCGACCUAACAACAUUUUCUUAAGUCAGGUCCAAAGCCGACUUAAGAAGUCAAAACUUCUUAUGUCGGCAAUUCUUAGGUCAGGUUCGGAACCGUCUUAAAAAGUCAUUCUUAACCGACUUAAAAAGUGUUUUUUCCACUAGUGUUUCAUUGGUUGAAUUGUUGUAGCAGAUAUUUGUUGGGAAUAUAGUCGUUGUGGAUUA